rnacentral:rRNA from 1 species
UACGGAGGGGGCGAGCGUUAUUCGGAAUUAUUGGGCGUAAAGGGCGCGUAGGCGGCCCCUUAAGUCAAAGGUGAAAUCCCUCGGCUCAACUGAGGAACUGCCUUUGAAACUGAUGGGCUUGAGGCCGGGAGGGGGUAGCGGAAUUCCCAGUGUAGCGGUGAAAUGCGUAGAUAUCUGGAGGAACACCGGUGGCGAAGGCGGCAUCCUGGACCGACACUGACGCUGAGGAGCGAAAGCAUGGGGAGCGAACAGG